rnacentral:rRNA from 1 species
AUUAAGCAUAUCAAUAAGCGGAGGAAAAGAAACCAACAGGGAUUGCCCUAGUAACGGCGAGUGAAGCGGCAACAGCUCAAAUUUGAAAUCUGGCUCCUUUGGGGUCCGAGUUGUAAUUUGCAGAGGGUGCUUUGGCAUCGGCGGCGGUCUAAGUUCCUUGGAACAGGACAUCGCAGAGGGUGAGAAUCCCGUACGUGGGCGCCUGCCUUUGCCGUGUAAAGCCCCUUCGACGAGUCGAGUUGUUUGGGAAUGCAGCUCUAAAUGGGAGGUAAAUUUCUUCUAAAGCUAAAUACCGGCCAGAGACCGAUAGCGCACAAGUAGAGUGAUCGAAAGAUGAAAAGUACUUUGGAAAGAGAGUCAAAUAGCACGUGAAAUUGUUGAAAGGGAAGCGCUUGCAGCCAGACUUGCCCGCAGUUGCUCACCCAGGCUCCGGCCUGGGGCACUCUUCUGCGGGCAGGCCAGCAUCAGUUUGGGCGGUUGGAUAAAGGCCUCUGUCACGUAUCUCCCUUCGGGGUGACCUUAUAGGGGAGGCGCAAUGCAACCAGCCCGGACUGAGGUCCGCGCAUCUGCUAGGAUGCUGGCGUAAUGGCUGUAAGCGGCCCGUCUGAAACACGACCAACGAUCAACCC